rnacentral:rRNA from 1 species
AGCUCCAAUAGCGUAUAUUAAAGUUGUUGCAGUUAAAAAGCUCGUAGUUGGAUUUCUGAAUUGAACGAUCGGUCCGCUUAUGACUUGUUUGUAAGUGUGUACUUUUGAUAGUUUAACUCAUUUUUGAGAGAAUCUAUUCCUGCCAUUAAGUUGAUGGGUUUAGGGACUUUCAUCAUUUACUGUGAAAAAAUUAGAGUGUUUAAAGCAGGCUUUAUGGCCAAUUGAAUACAUUAGCAUGGAAUAAUAAGAUACGACUUUGGUGGUCUAUUUUGUUGGUUUGCACACCAGAGUAAUGAUUAAUAGGGACAGUUGGGGGUAUUCAUAUUUCAGCGUCAGAGGUGAAAUUCUUGGAUCGCUGAAAGAUGAGCUUAGGCGAAAGCAUUUACCAAGGAUGUUUUCA